rnacentral:tRNA from 1 species
GGGCCGGUAGCUCAGUGGUAGAGCAGCUGCCUUUUAAGCAGCGGGUCGAGGGUUCAAUUCCCUCCCGGCCCUCCA